rnacentral:rRNA from 1 species
AGUCGAGCGAUGAUUAAAGAUAGCUUGCUAUUUUUAUGAAGAGCGGCGAACGGGUGAGUAACGCGUGGGAAAUCUGCCGAGUAGCGGGGGACAACGUUUGGAAACGAACGCUAAUACCGCAUAACAAUGAGAAUCGCAUGAUUCUUAUUUGAAAGAAGCAAUUGCUUCACUACUUGAUGAUCCCGCGUUGUAUUAGCUAGUUGGUAGUGUAAAGGACUACCAAGGCGAUGAUACAUAGCCGACCUGAGAGGGUGAUCGGCCACACUGGGACUGAGACACGGCCCAGACUCCUACGGGAGGCAGCAGUAGGGAAUCUUCGGCAAUGGGGGCAACCCUGACCGAGCAACGCCGCGUGAGUGAAGAAGGUUUUCGGAUCGUAAAACUCUGUUGUUAGAGAAGAACGUUAAGUAGAGUGGAAAAUUACUUAAGUGACGGUAUCUAACCAGAAAGGGACGGCUAACUACGUG